AUUCCAGCUCCAAUAGCGUAUAUUAAAGUUGUUGCAGUUAAAAAGCUCGUAGUUGAAUUUCUGUACAGUCCCGGUUCUGGCUUCGGUCAAGCCGUGGAUUGUGCAUCCGCUUGCAAAUCUAGCUCGGCCUUCACUGGUCGACUAGGGGAGUAAGCCCUUUACUUUGAAAAAAUUAGAGUGUUUCAGGCAGGCAAUGGCUCGAAUACAUUAGCAUGGAAUAAUGGAAUAGGACUUUUGUCCAUUUGGUUGGUUAUUGGACAUGAGUAAUGAUUAAAAGGGACAGUUGGGGGCAUUAGUAUUUAAUAGUCAGAGGUGAAAUUCUUGGAUUUAUUAAAGACUAACUUAUGCGAAAGCAUUUGCCAAGGAUGUUUUCAUCG
rnacentral:rRNA from 1 species